rnacentral:rRNA from 1 species
UACGUAGGGUGCGAGCGUUAAUCGGAAUUACUGGGCGUAAAGCGUGCGCAGGCGGUUCGUUAUGUCCGAUGUGAAAGCCCCGAGCUUAACUUGGGAAUGGCAUUGGAAACUGGCGGGCUGGAGUGCGGCAGAGGGGGGUGGAAUUCCACGUGUAGCAGUGAAAUGCGUAGAGAUCCGGAGGAACACCAGUGGCGAAGGCGACACGCUGGGCCGUACCUGACACUGAUGCGCGACAGCAUGGGGAGCAAACAGG